UACGUAGGGUGCAAGCGUUUGUCCGGAAUUAUUGGGCGUAAAGAGCUCGUAGGCGGCUUGUCGCGUCGACUGUGAAAACCCGCGGCUCAACCGCGGGCCUGCAGCCGAUACGGGCAGGCUAGAGUUCGGUAGGGGAGACUGGAAUUCCUGGUGUAGCGGUGAAAUGCGCAGAUAUCGAGAGGAACACCGGUGGCGAAGGCGGCCAACUGGACGAAUACUGACGCUGAGACUCGAAAGCGUGGGGAGCAAACAGG
rnacentral:rRNA from 1 species